rnacentral:rRNA from 1 species
GGUCAAGUGAAGAAGCGCAUACGGUGGAUGCCUUGGCAGUCAGAGGCGAUGAAAGACGUGGUAGCCUGCGAAAAGCUUCGGGGAGUCGGCAAACAGACUUUGAUCCGGAGAUGUCUGAAUGGGGGAACCCAGCCAUCAUAAGAUGGUUAUCUUGUACUGAAUACAUAGGUGCAAGAGGCGAACCAGGGGAACUGAAACAUCUAAGUACCCUGAGGAAAAGAAAUCAACCGAGAUUCCCUUAGUAGUGGCGAGCGAACGGGGACUAGCCCUUAAGUGGCUUUGAGAUUAGCGGAACGCUCUGGAAAGUGCGGCCAUAGUGGGUGAUAGCCCUGUACGCGAAAAUCUCUUAGUCAUGAAAUCGAGUAGGACGGAGCACGAGAAACUUUGUCUGAAUAUGGGGGGACCAUCCUCCAAGGCUAAAUACUACUGACUGACCGAUAGUGAACUAGUACCGUGAGGGAAAGGCGAAAAGAACCCCGGAGAGGGGAGUGAAAUAGAUCCUGAAACCGUAUGCGUACAAGCAGUGGGAGCCCACUUUGUUGGGUGACUGCGUACCUUUUGUAUAAUGGGUCAGCGACUUAUUUUCAGUGGCGAGCUUAACCGAAUAGGGGAGGCGUAGCGAAAGCGAGUCUUAAUAGGGCGUCUAGUCGCUGGGAAUAGACCCGAAACCGGGCGAUCUAUCCAUGGGCAGGUUGAAGGUUAGGUAACACUGACUGGAGGACCGAACCGACUACCGUUGAAAAGUUAGCGGAUGACCUGUGGAUCGGAGUGAAAGGCUAAUCAAGCUCGGAGAUAGCUGGUUCUCCUCGAAAGCUAUUUAGGUAGCGCCUCAUGUAUCACUGUAGGGGGUAGAGCACUGUUUCGGCUAGGGGGUCAUCCCGACUUACCAAACCGAUGCAAACUCCGAAUACCUACAAGUGCCGAGCAUGGGAGACACACGGCGGGUGCUAACGUCCGUCGUGAAAAGGGAAACAACCCAGACCGUCAGCUAAGGUCCCAAAGUUAUGGUUAAGUGGGAAACGAUGUGGGAAGGCUUAGACAGCUAGGAGGUUGGCUUAGAAGCAGCCACCCUUUAAAGAAAGCGUAAUAGCUCACUAGUCGAGUCGGCCUGCGCGGAAGAUGUAACGGGGCUCAAACCAUACACCGAAGCUACGGGUAUCACUUAGGUGAUGCGGUAGAGGAGCGUUCUGUAAGCCUGUGAAGGUGAGUUGAGAAGCUUGCUGGAGGUAUCAGAAGUGCGAAUGCUGACAUGAGUAACGACAAUGGGUGUGAAAAACACCCACGCCGAAAGACCAAGGUUUCCUGCGCAACGUUAAUCGACGCAGGGUUAGUCGGUCCCUAAGGCGAGGCUGAAAAGCGUAGUCGAUGGAAAACAGGUUAAUAUUCCUGUACUUCUGGUUAUUGCGAUGGAGGGACGGAGAAGGCUAGGCCAGCUUGGCGUUGGUUGUCCAAGUUUAAGGUGGUAGGCUGAGAUCUUAGGUAAAUCCGGGAUCUCAAGGCCGAGAGCUGAUGACGAGUGUUCUUUUAGAACACGAAGUGGUUGAUGCCAUGCUUCCAAGAAAAGCUUCUAAGCUUCAGGUAACCAGGAACCGUACCCCAAACCGACACAGGUGGUUGGGUAGAGAAUACCAAGGCGCUUGAGAGAACUCGGGUGAAGGAACUAGGCAAAAUGGCACCGUAACUUCGGGAGAAGGUGCGCCGGUGAGGGUGAAGCACUUGCUGCGUAAGCCCACGCCGGUCGAAGAUACCAGGCCGCUGCGACUGUUUAUUAAAAACACAGCACUCUGCAAACACGAAAGUGGACGUAUAGGGUGUGACGCCUGCCCGGUGCCGGAAGGUUAAUUGAUGGGGUUAGCUAACGCGAAGCUCUUGAUCGAAGCCCCGGUAAACGGCGGCCGUAACUAUAACGGUCCUAAGGUAGCGAAAUUCCUUGUCGGGUAAGUUCCGACCUGCACGAAUGGCGUAACGAUGGCGGCGCUGUCUCCACCCGAGACUCAGUGAAAUUGAAAUCGCUGUGAAGAUGCAGUGUAUCCGCGGCUAGACGGAAAGACCCCGUGAACCUUUACUAUAGCUUUGCACUGGACUUUGAAUUUGCUUGUGUAGGAUAGGUGGGAGGCUUUGAAGCGUGGACGCCAGUUCGCGUGGAGCCAUCCUUGAAAUACCACCCUGGCAACUUUGAGGUUCUAACUCAGGUCCGUUAUCCGGAUCGAGGACAGUGUAUGGUGGGUAGUUUGACUGGGGCGGUCUCCUCCUAAAGAGUAACGGAGGAGUACGAAGGUGCGCUCAGACCGGUCGGAAAUCGGUCGUAGAGUAUAAAGGCAAAAGCGCGCUUGACUGCGAGACAGACACGUCGAGCAGGUACGAAAGUAGGUCUUAGUGAUCCGGUGGUUCUGUAUGGAAGGGCCAUCGCUCAACGGAUAAAAGGUACUCCGGGGAUAACAGGCUGAUACCGCCCAAGAGUUCAUAUCGACGGCGGUGUUUGGCACCUCGAUGUCGGCUCAUCACAUCCUGGGGCUGAAGCCGGUCCCAAGGGUAUGGCUGUUCGCCAUUUAAAGUGGUACGCGAGCUGGGUUUAGAACGUCGUGAGACAGUUCGGUCCCUAUCUGCCGUGGACGUUUGAGAUUUGAGAGGGGCUGCUCCUAGUACGAGAGGACCGGAGUGGACGAACCUCUGGUGUUCCGGUUGUCACGCCAGUGGCAUUGCCGGGUAGCUAUGUUCGGAAUAGAUAACCGCUGAAAGCAUCUAAGCGGGAAACUAGCCUCAAGAUGAGAUCUCACUGGGACCUUGAGUCCCCUGAAGGGCCGUCGAAGACUACGACGUUGAUAGGUUGGGUGUGUAAGCGCUGUGAGGCGUUGAGCUAACCAAUACUAAUUGCCCGUGAGGCUUGACCAU